CCAUGCCCCUUUCCUUUAGUCAUGCUCCUGACAUACUUCCUAUGACAAGGCUAGAGCUGAAGGGGCCAGCUGUAUGUUACCUGGGCAUUCCCCCUGCUAUGGAAAUCUUUUAACUGUCCAGUUAGGCCACUUUACAGCCCCUUUGCACCACUGAACGCAAUGAUAUUUGAGGGAAGAGUGCUGAAGGAAGUAUUUGAAUGUCUGAAAUAGAGGAUAAAAACAUUUGGAGGGGGCUGGUUGUUCGUUGAGCAGAUACUUUCGUAGGGGAAGAUGAUGGGCUAUUUGUUGUUGUGGACAGAUAGGAAUUUUAGGGAAUAUAUAAUUUUGAGGAGUGAUGGUUCAUUGGGGGGAGUGAUUUCAAGGGCCUAAUAGUGAUGGGGGACAGAUAUUUGUGAGGCGAUGGGAUAUUACAGUUUAGGCUCCCUUCCCUUUUAUCAGUCUCUCAGCUGCAAGGACUGACUCCUCCUGUUCCCUGGGCUCAAUAGCUUAAGCAAGCUUGUGGGAGGUGGCUGCAAUAAUCCAAAGGUCUUUCUUCCCUUUGAAGAGCAGACACAAGCAUUCCGGCAGAUGCUGAGCCAGAGGCUGCAGUUCCACAGUAGGUUCUGGUUUCCAUUGAUCUUUCAUGCAUGCAUCUUAAAAAUAAAAGGACUUGGUUGUUGAGCACAAGGACUCCUUACUUCUUCAAGAAGAACUGCACGCCCAACACCAAGCUCCUGGCAGUAGGUGAGGAAACAGACCCAUCUAGCUCUUCACAGCAAUAGUUGCUGCUUGGUCAGGAUUCCCCAGCUGUGGCCUCCUCUCUCACCUGGAAAGGACGAUGGGCCCUCCUGUGCACCAUGGAUCCCAACUUCUUUCCAGCUAUCUCUUCUGGAGGACUGUCAGCAGGGGCAGCCGCCUCCUUCACAGCCAACCACCCCAGGACAACGUGGGACUAGUGGAGACUGUCAUUGGUUUAUCAGCAUUUUCCCUGGCUGUCCUUGGACCAGCUGGAUGGUUCCUGUUCCACCUUCCGAGCUAUAAAAAGAAGUAGAAGAUGUGCUUUCCUAUUUAAGACCUGGUGCCUCAGAUCUGCUGUAAAUAUUCCUUUAUGGAGCAUCUUUAAAGCAAGAGUGUCAACCUGAAGUCUAAUCAACAAAAAAAAUAAAUGAGUUAAAUGCUAGUUUCA
rnacentral:lncRNA from 1 species